rnacentral:rRNA from 1 species
AUUGAACGCUGGCGGCAGGCCUAACACAUGCAAGUCGAACGAGCGGCGGACGGGUGAGUAAUGUCUGUGAAACUGUCUGAUGUAGGGGGAGAACUACUGGAAACGGUAGCUAAUAACGCCUACCAUCAGAUGUGCCCAGAUGGGAUUAGCUAGUAGGUGGGGUAACGGCCCACCAAGGCGACGAUCCCUAGCUGGUCUGAGAGGAUGACCAGCCACACUGGAACUGAGACACGGCCCAGACUCCUACGGGAGGCAGCAGUGGGGAAUAUUGCGCAAUGGGCGCAAGCCUGAUGCAGCCAUGCCGCGUGUAUGAAGAAGGCCUUCGGGUUGUAAAGUACUUUCGGCGGGGAGGCGUUACCCGCAGAAGAAGCACCGGCUAACUCCGUGCCAGCAGCCGCGGUAAUUC